rnacentral:rRNA from 1 species
GAAGUCCGCUGAACCGUUAUGCAUUUAGAGGAAGGAGAAGUCGUAASAAGGUUUCCGUAGGUGAACCUGCGGAAGGAUCAUUGUCGCAWCUCCGUCUCGGACGGCCCGACACACCCCACCCGCGAACGGUUGACCCCCGACCCUUCUUUUAAACUCGCCGGGCGGGGUGGAGGUAGGUGACCACAUUUUCGGCUCUGGGACGUACGUCCGUCCGUCUGUCUGUCACCUCUCCCCCCCACCCCCUCGGCUCCGCAYGCGUCUCGGCCUCUUCGGCGGCCGCAGGGCGGCGGGACAACGAACCUCCGGGCGCGGCCUGCGCCAAGGAUCAGUGAAUGGGGGACCGCCCGUGCACGGGCCUUGCUCCGAGCGGGCAGAGGUACGCGGUGUCGGUCGUCCUGAACGAGUCUCCCAACGACUCCUGGCAACGGAUAUCUAGGCUCUUGCAUCGAUGAAGAACGUAGCGAAAUGCGAUACGUGGUGUGAAUUGCAGAAUCCCGCGAACCAUCGAAUCUUCGAACGCAAGUUGCGCCCGAGGCCAUCGGGCCGAGGGCACGCCUGCCUGGGCGUCACGCCCCGCGUCGCUCCCCGCCCCCCGUCCGCAGUGUGUCCUACUCGCACCGUGCGGCGGCUGGCGACGAGGAUGCGGACGUUGGCCUGCCGUGCUGUCGCGCGGUGGGCUGAAGGACCUUGGCCCUCUCUUGUGGGGCGAGCACGGCCAGCGGUGGACGAAUUCGGCGCUGCGGGCACUACGGGUCGUAUGCGCUCGUCGUCGUCGUCGUGCUCGCCGCCGUCGGACGGAACGGAAUGGAGCAGGGCGCCGCUUGCUCAUCGUGACGCGGAGGGAGAACCCAUCCGCGAGCCGGCGCGCGUCGUCGCUCGGAUCGCGACCCCAGGUCAGGCGGGGCCACCCGCUGAGUUUAAGCAUAUAUAAUAAGC